rnacentral:rRNA from 1 species
GAGUUUGAUCAUGGCUCAGAUUGAACGCUGGCGGCAUGCCUAACACAUGCAAGUCGAGCGGUAACAGGCCCGCAAGGGUGCUGACGAGCGGCGGACGGGUGAGGAAUGCAUAGGAAUCUGCCUUAGAGCGGGGGAUAGCCGGGGGAAACUCCGAUUAAUACCGCAUGAUGUCGAAAGACCAAAGUGGGGGACCGUAAGGCCUCACACUCUAAGAUGAGCCUAUGCCCGAUUAGCUAGUUGGCGGGGUAAUGGCCCACCAAGGCGACGAUCGGUAGCUGGUCUGAGAGGACGAUCAGCCACACCGGAACUGAGACACGGUCCGGACUCCUACGGGAGGCAGCAGUGGGGAAUAUUGGGCAAUGGGGGCAACCCUGAUCCAGCCAUGCCGCGUGAGUGAAGAAGGCCUUCGGUUGU